rnacentral:rRNA from 1 species
GGAGAUAACCUUGCGAAAGUAAGACGUAAUACCCAAUGACGUCUCUAGAAGACAUCUGAAAGAGAUUAAAGAUUUAUCGGUGAUGGAUGGGGAUGCGUCUGAUUAGCUUGUUGCGGGGUAACGGCCCACCAAGGCGACGAUCAGUAGGGGUUCUGAGAGGAAGGUCCCCCACAUUGGAACUGAGACACGGUCCAAACUCCUACGGGAGGCAGCAGUGAGGAAUAUUGGUCAAUGGGCGAGAGCCUGAACCAGCCAAGUAGCGUGCAGGAUGACGGCCCUAUGGGUUGUAAACUGCUUUUAUAAGGGAAUAAAGUGAGCCUCGUGAGGCUUUUUGCAUGUACCUUAUGAAUAAGGACCGGCUAAUUCCGUG